rnacentral:rRNA from 1 species
UAGGGAAUCUUCCACAAUGGACGCAAGUCUGAUGGAGCAACGCCGCGUGAGUGAAGAAGGGUUUCGGCUCGUAAAGCUCUGUUGUUAAAGAAGAACAUAUCUGAGAGUAACUGUUCAGGUAUUGACGGUAUUUAACCAGAAAGCCACGGCUAACUACGUGCCAG